rnacentral:rRNA from 1 species
AUUGAACGCUGGCGGCAGGCCUAACACAUGCAAGUCGAACGAGUGGCGGACGGGUGAGUAAUGUCUGGGAAACUGCCCGAUGGAGGGGGAUAACUACUGGAAACGGUAGAUAAUACCGCAUAACAUCGGACGUGCACAGAUGGGAUUAGCAAGUAGGUGGGGUAACGGCUCACCUAGGCGACGAGCCCUAGCUGGUCUGAGAGGAUGACCAGCCACACAUGAACUGAGACACGGUCCAGACUCCUACGGGAGGCAGCAGUGGGGAAUAUUGCACAAUGGGCGCAAGCCUGAUGCAGCCAUGCCGCGUGUAUGAAGAAGGCCUUCGGGUUGUAAAGUACUUUCAGCGGGGAGGCGUUACCCGCAGAAGAAGCACCGGCUAACUCCGUGCCAGCAGCCGCGGUAAUUC